UGCUAAAUUCUGAUUGGCUGGCUUGACAACCAAUCACAAGACUCCCUGCAUUACCGACAGAGGAAGAGGGAAAAUACAUAGUGGAAGAGACGUUUGUUCAAUGGUUUGAACACUAUCAAAGUCCCUAUAUAAAGUCUUUGACAAUUUAUUUUCAAGUUCAAAUGUCUACCACACGAAGACCACCGAUAUUC